rnacentral:lncRNA from 10 species
UUUAUUAAUUUAUGUAUUCAAUAAACAGUAAAUGAGUAUCUACAGGAAGAGUAUAGAUAUAAGUACACAAAAUAAAAACUCCUGCCCUCAUGGUGCUUCCAUUCUAAAUGUGUAGUGGUCAGCAGAGAUGAAGGUGAAAUGAAUCACAAAUCCAUAAGUGAAAUGUACAGUAUAUCAGAUAGCAAUAAAUAAUAUUACUAAAAAGAAAGAAAGCACAGAAGAUAAGUGUGGAGUGCUGAAAUUUGAAAUACUCUGAUCCGGGAAGGCCUUAUAGAGAAGGCAAUAUUUGAGUAAACAUUUGAAAGAGCAAGUGCAGGACAAAGGUCUAAGAAUAGAGUAAGCAAAUGCAUAGCAAUGGGAGAGGUAAGAUCAAAGAGGUGAGUGGGAGCCAGAUAACCUAGACCAGUGUAAGAACUUUGGUACUAAAUGGAAAAUAUAUCAUUUUUCCAAUAUCCGUGGAUAUUCCAUAUCCAUGGAUAAUUUUGAGCAAGGGAGUAAUAUGGUUUUAUGUGUAUUUCAAAAACAAAAUUAUAGGGUUGCUGUGCUGAAAACAGACUGAACUGGGAAACAAGGCAUAAAGUAGAAGAACAACUAGAAUAUUACCACAAUAAUCAGCGUGAGGAACAAUUGUACUUUGGACCUGAUGAUAUCAACGGAAGGGUGAAAAAUGAUCCAACUGACAAGAUUUGCAGAUGAUCUAUACCAACAGAUGUGUUGUCAAGAAAAAACGUAGAACAAGAACUGGAGUUUGUCUUACAAAUCUUUAUGUAAUAGAAUUUCAGGAAGAGAGGCUACCAUGGACUUUGGAGAAUCUGUCCUGAAAGGUUUAAUGAAGAAUGGAUCUGUGCAGCUCCAGAAGUGGACAGUAAUGGAUGCUAUGCUCUGCCACUCUCAUCUCCUUUUCAGGGCCAAAGGACUUAUUCCACAAACUGCUGGAAGUGCUGCUGAUUGACAGCCCUCAGCUCUCAGCUCAUCUUGUAAAUUGUCCUUACCUUAAGAGGUCCACUUUGCACAAACUCAUGCCCUAUAUACAUGGCUAACAUAUGUCCAAUAUCCAAUCUACAUAGAAGAAUUAAGUCCCUACCCUCUCACAUCAACUUGGUACAAUUCUGAAAGGAUGAAAUCUUGUGAUUUCCUUACAGACAAUUGCUCUAUCACUCUUUCUCUCCUUUCCAUAUGAAUGACAAUCCUGAAAAUACUGUCCAAUACAUUUUCUGCAUUCAAAGUCCCAUUUUGGAGUCUAUAUUCCAGGCAUCUCAGCUAGCAACAUUGCUAGAUUUUUAUUGUUUUUUUCACAGGUCCAUUUCUUCCAAUAUACCUCACAUAAUAAAUAAAAGAAUAUGCAUCAGAAUACCAUUGGAUUGUGGCUUUGCCUUUUUAAUUAUUUCGAUUGAUUCUCCAUUGUUUAUAACACUGUGUUCAAAUUCCUUAGCUAAAGGAAGUCCUCAGAUUCUGGUGCUAAUUUUCAAAGCCAGCUUCAAAACCUACUAUUCUGCAACAAAACUUUCUACUUCUACUUUCUACUUUAAUUUUCACCAUCUAUUCUUAUAUGUCAUAGCUAUCCCUCCUAUACACUAUGACUUUGUUUAUGAUGAUCACUUGGAAUAACUUACUCUAUACCUUUCCAGACCCUAUCUAUCUUGUAAAAUCCUUCUCAACUCUCUUAUUAACCCUUAGAUUUGUAUUAGCUAAUAGUCACCCUCAUCCUACUCACUAUUCAUAAUUAUCAUCUUUAUUAUUCAAAAAAUCACCGUGAGAAACGAUUGAGCAUCUUAAAUGCAGCUACUGUUUUUAUAAAACAUAACAAUAGCCCAAUCAAGCAAUAAAAAAACUUAAAAAUAGCACAAUUUUGUUAUUAAAAUUUUUAAUUAAUUUAUGGUUUGUAUUGUGUCACCCUUUCCUAAUAUUUAUCUAUGUAAACUUUAGAUUUCCCAAUAUAUUAAUAAUUAAUAUAAGCACUUAAACACAGUAAGGAAUAUGAUUUUUUUAUAUCUGUCUCUGUCUCUGUCCCCCUCUCUCUCUCUUAUUCUCUUCACCUUUAUGAAAUUAAAGUGAUACAAAAAUAUGCAUUCAAAAAUUGCUUGUUGAAUUGAACUGACAGAAUAUAAAUUAGUUUGGAUAAUAUAGGUACGCUUUAUUAGAAAAGAGUGAAAUAAUAUCAUAAAAUAGCCCGAGAACCUUUUAUGUUUUCAAAAAUUAAAAUUAAACAUAAUCUAUAAAGAAUAUGUGUGAAGAUUCCUUUAUGUCACAAAGUUAAAAAAUGAGAACUAAGUCAAUGUAAAAACAAUAAAAACAUUAUCUUUAAAUUUGGAAUGCAUAGAACAAGA